GCGCCCACAGUUUCAUCGAGACGUCUCCGUGUGAGUAUGGGUUUGCUGAUGUUUGUACGCUCGCAUCUAUGUUCCAGUGCUAGGGGUGUGUUUUGAUGGCGGAAGUGAUGUAAGAAAACGGGAUGGCGGACAUCGUUUCUGUGGCAUGGCCCCUUUUCUCCCCCUUUUUGCUGUAGCUUAGCGGUGGUCUGGUGACAGCUCGUUUUUGCGUGAGUGAUUACACUUUCCUGAAACGAACGCACAUUCCCCCCGUUCUUCGCGUAAUCUCUCUCUUCAAGCAAACAAACUAAAGGGACUUCUCCAGAGUCCACAACGAAACAUACACACACACACACACGUUAACACACAAGAGUUCACUUCGUAAAGAAACUGCUUUGGUCUUGCUCGUAUCUGCAGUCUUCGCGCCGCUCGCGCAGCAUCGUGGGCAUCCACGCAGGCAGAGUGAAGGGAGAAACUAGGCCCCACGCCAAAGUGUCGGCGUUGGUUUCGAACUCAAAUCGAUAUCUUGCUCCUCUCCUCUUCACGCUUCCUCCUCCUUGGCUCCAACACAG
rnacentral:misc_RNA from 1 species